UACAGAGACUGCAAGCGUUAUUCGGAUUCACUGGGCGUAAAGGGUGCGCAGGCGCCAUGUGUGUCAGGUGUGAAAGCCCGAGGCUCAACCUCGGAAUUGCGCCUGAAACUACAUGGCUAGAGUACUGGAGAGGGUAGCGGAAUUCAUGGUGUAGCAGUGAAAUGCGUAGAGAUCGGGAGGAACAUCAGUGGCGAAGGCGGCCAUCUGGGACAACACUGACGCUGAGGCACGAAAGCGUGGGGAGCAAACAGG
rnacentral:rRNA from 1 species